rnacentral:rRNA from 1 species
GGACGAACCUACGAAACCGUUAUUCGGAAUUACUGGGCUUAAAGGGUGCGUAGGCGGCGCAGUAAGUUGGGUGUGAAAUCCCUCGCUUAACCGAGGAAUUGCGCCCAAAACUACUGUGCUCGAGGGAGGUAGAGGUGAGCGGAACUUAGGGUGGAGCGGUGAAAUGCGUUGAUAUCCUAAGGAACACCGGUGGCGAAAGCGGCUCACUGGACCUCUUCUGACGCUGAGGCACGAAAGCUAGGGUAGCAAACGGGG